GACGAACGCUGGCGGCGUGCCUAAUACAUGCAAGUCGAGCGAACAGACGAGGAGCUUGCUCCUUUGACGUUAGCGGCGGACGGGUGAGUAACACGUGUAAACCCCCCCUAUAUGACUGGGAUAACUUCGGGAAACCGGAGAUAAUACCGGAGAAUCUAUUGAACCGCGGGGUUCAAUAGAGAAAGACGGUGUUGCUGUCACGUAUAGAUGGAUCCGCGCCGGUUUGGCUAGUUGGUAGGGUAACGGGUUACGAAGGCAACGAUGCGUUGCCGAGCGGAGAGGGGGAUCGCCCGCACGGGAGCGUGGACGCGGUCCAGCCUCCUACGGGAGGCACCAGUAGGGAACCUUCCGCAAUGGGCGAAAGCCUGACGGAGCACCGCCGCGUCAGUUGUGAAGGUCUCGGGUUCGUAAACCCCGGUUAUUGGGGGAAAACAACUUUGUACGGAAAUGUAGACGGAUUGACGGUACCGGAUCAGAAAGCCACGGCUAACUACGUG
rnacentral:rRNA from 1 species